rnacentral:tRNA from 1 species
CGCGGGGUAGAGCAGUGGUAGCUCGUCGGGCUCAUAACCCGGAGGUCAUGCGGUUCAAAUCCCAUCCCCGCAACCA